rnacentral:piRNA from 1 species
UGACCCAGCGGCAUGAGGAUGAGUCC